rnacentral:rRNA from 1 species
UGGGGAAUUUUGGACAAUGGGGGAAACCCUGAUCCAGCCAUCCCGCGUGUGCGAUGAAGGCCUUCGGGUUGUAAAGCACUUUUGGCAGGAAAGAAACGUCAUGGGUUAAUACCCCGUGAAACUGACGGUACCUGCAGAAUAAGCACCGGCUAACUACGUGCCAGCAGCCGCGGUAAUACGUAGGGUGCAAGCGUUAAUCGGAAUUACUGGGCGUAAAGCGUGCGCAGGCGGUUCGGGAAGAAAGAUGUGAAAUCCCAGAGCUCAACUUUGGAACUGCAUUUUUAGCGGCCGGGCUAGAGUGUGUCAGAGGGAGGUGGAAUUCCGCGUGUAGCAGUGAAAUGCGUAGAUAUGCGGAGGAACACCGAUGGCGAAGGCAGCCUCCUGGGAUAAAACUGACGCUCAUGCACGAAAGCGUGGGGAGCAAACAGG